rnacentral:lncRNA from 1 species
AACAUAUAUGUAUAUGGAUCAUGAUUUUAAUUAUCUUAGAGCGUAAGACACUGUCUGGCGCCACCAAACUUCUUCCAAAUCAUCCCAGAGAGAUGUUGUCUCAGCAUCUUCAGGGAGUCAAAGGAGACCGAGGGAGAGACGUCAUGAUUUCAGGACUGAAAAAGAGUCGCGAAAUGUUAGCAGAGGGGCCCUUCUUCACCCAGAAAGACGGAACCGGCCGCUCAACAGCUACCCCUCGGUCAACGUCGACAAGCAGACGCGCCCCAGACAGCAAGAACCAGAUGCUCAGGAUCAAACCUGGUUUUGCCUCUUCCUGAGCAAGUCGCUUAACUCUCUUUCCCUCCAUUUGCUCAUCUGUAAAAUGUACCUGCCUCAUGGAGUUGUUCUGAGGAUUAAAUGAGUUGAUGUAUGUGAAGCCCUGAGAAUAAUUCCUGCAAAUAGCGUGUGCUCAGUAAGUGUGACCAGGAGUCCCAGGAGUGAUCUGGGAGCAGGGUCACACGCAUUCACACCGCUGGUGCAGAUGAGGAGACAUGAUUGACAGUCCCACAGACUGGAAGUUUUGGAGGAGAGGUGUUUCACUGAAGGAAACUCUGGACGUCGGGCUGGCCGAAUCUCUAGAGGUCCACCAGCUGGGCUAAGUUGCCGGGGACAGCCAGGGCGAUUGUCAUAAGUCAUCCACUUACCAAGGGGACGAGGAGAAGGCUUGUAGCUCCUAGACUAUUGAACUCCAGGCAUCACCACAGCAGCCCUGGAAGGCUAGUCCCUGGUGAAACCAGUUUGGAAAGUUCUCCUCUUCUUCCCCCGAUAUUCCUGUUACAUUUCCUUAUGCGUGAUUUUCUCAGCCCUGCAGCGAUUCACACAAAGUUGUGAUAAACACUCCUUUCCCAUCUGUAAUGCUAACAAUUUGGAAUGUGUAAUCGUGCCUACACACGGUUGGCUCUCCGUCAUCGUUAGUAGAACAGUUUCAACCCGCUUCAGCCACAUUUGUCAAGUUCCUGCUAUUUGCGUAGCUCAUGCUUUUCUCCCUUAAUAAUUCUUCUUUGCAAGCCCCUCAGUUUCUUCCACCUUGUUGGUUAUGUUUUCCUAAUAGUCCCUCAAUUUUCCUGCCCCCACCUCAGACUCUACAGGAACCCAGCCCGGCUCUUGUUCCCCAUUGCGUGUCUGGCUGAAUAUGCACGUCCCAUUUCUUGGCUCCCCCCGAUCCCUUGGCUGUUGAAUUUUCUCUAGGGCCUGGUGAUGAGUAACUGCACCGAAGCCUCCGCCAAAGCAGUGCCAAGCCCUAAGGGAGGCCCCUGAGCUUCCAGUUACAGGUUCAAUCUGAGGAGAUGUUUCUCCAACCAUCUCCUGCCUUUCUCAAUUCCUUCCAGCCAUCCAUAAUCAUCCUCCC